UACGUAGGGUGCGAGCGUUGUCCGGAAUUACUGGGCGUAAAGAGCUCGUAGGUGGUUUGUCGCGUUGUUCGUGAAAACCGGGGGCUUAACCCUCGGCGUGCGGGCGAUACGGGCAGACUGGAGUACUGCAGGGGGAGACUGGAAUUCCUGGUGUAGCGGUGGAAUGCGCAGAUAUCAGGAGGAACACCGGUGGCGAAGGCGGGUCUCUGGGCAGUAACUGACGCUGAGGAGCGAAAGCGUGGGGGAGCGAACAGG
rnacentral:rRNA from 1 species